rnacentral:rRNA from 1 species
UACGUAGGGUGCGAGCGUUGUCCGGAAUUACUGGGCGUAAAGAGCUCGUAGGCGGUUUGUCGCGUUGUUCGUGAAAUCUCACGGCUUAACUGUGAGCGUGCGGGCGAUACGGGCAGACUAGAGUACUGCAGGGGAGACUGGAAUUCCCGGUGUAGCGGUGGAAUGCGCAGAUAUCAGGAGGAACACUGAUGGCGAAGGCAGGUCUCUGGGCCACUACUGACGCUGAGAAGCGAAAGCAUGGGGAGCGAACAGG